rnacentral:rRNA from 1 species
CCUACGGGUGGCAGCAGUGAGGAAUAUUGGUCAAUGGACGAGAGUCUGAACCAGCCAAGUCGCGUGAAGGAAGACUGCCCUAUGGGUUGUAAACUUCUUUUUUAAGGGAAUAAAACGAGUCACGUGUGCCUUUUUGCAUGUACGCUAUGAAUAAGCCUAGGCUAACUCCGUGCCAGCAGCCGCGGUCAUACGGCGGAUCCGAGCGUUAUCCGGAUUUAUUGGGGUUAAAGGGAGCGGAGAGGGGAUGUUAAGUCAGUCGUGAAAACUGGCGGCUCAACCCUGAGAUUGCAUUUGAAACUGGGUGUCUUGAGUGCAGGAGAGGUAUGCGGAAUGCGUGGUGUAGCGGUGAAAUGCGUAGAUAUCACGAAGAACCCCGAUUGCGAAGGCAGCUUACUGGACAGUAACUGACGCUGAUGCGCGAAAGCGUGGGUAGCAAACAGGAUUAGAUACCCCUGUAGUC